AACGCAUACCUUAGAUGAAAGUUCCUUAAUGAUAUACGGUGAAAGCUCUUGUAUUUGGGUUUUCAAAUUGAAACUCUUGCUCUUGUUCUUGAGAGAAAUUGAUGAAAAGGAGCAUAUUUUGGGCAUUUUGUGCCUUAAUCCCGUGUUUUUGACAUAUAUAGGGUUGGAAAAAUGACCAAAUUAACCCUCAAGACACGAAAGUGUAAUACUAAAAAAUUGGGUAUAAAGGCUAUACAAAGGGCGGCCCCUUUGUUAGAGCAUUUUGUACCUUGGGCGCGCUUUUGGUGCUGAUUUGCCCACAAAGGCUUGAUGUGUGAGCAAAUGCUAACACAUUUGAGGCUUUUAAUUCUAAAUAAUUGCGAAGUCUUAAGAAACUUUUGGUUGUUUUUGAUAGUUUUCGUGUGAUAUUAUAGUUGUAGGAAAGAUGGGAGGAAAACAUAGGAAAAAUGAACAAAAUAAGUAAAAUCUGGUACAAGUGAGCUGAUAUGAGUCUGACGGCAUUUCUUUCAAGUCGUCAGGGAUGUGGUAAGCUACUAGAAAAACGCAUCAGGAAGAACAGUGGAGAAGAGUUGCUGGAUAAGAGUGACGACAUUCUUAAUAUGUCGUCACAAGUGUGGUAAGCCAUCAGAAUAUGCCGUCAGAGUGAGGCAGAACAGGUCAAGAUGGCAUGACUUCUGACGACAUAUCUGAGACGCCGUCAGAAGCCUGACGACCAAUACCAAUAUGGCAUCACCUAAAUCCAAGACCAGCUGUGAUUUUCUUCUUUUAUUUCUUUAAUUAGGCUUUAGUAUAAAUAGCAGUUUUUAGGGUUUUUAAGGGAAGUUUUUCAUUAUUCAGAACAUGAAUUUUGGAGGAAGAAACACGUACAUUGUUCUCUUUUGCCAAUUAUUUUUUGUUUCUUUCUUAUCAACUAUUCUUGGGUUUCUAACUUGGUAUUUGAUUGAAGAAAUUAUUUGUUGUUUUCCAUCUAUACAUAAGUUUAACAUUAUCAUCAUCAAUUCAACUUGUGAUUUCCUUCAUCAAAUUAUGAGCGGCUAAUUUUAUUAGUCGGGGUUAUGGGAUCUACAAGAAAGAGGAGUGGUAUGGAAACAAAUGCCAAGACCACAAACUCUAUUUCUGCAGAGGUUGAAGAAGAAAGAAGCUAAUGAAAAAUUUAUCAAGUUUAUGGCAGUAAUGAAACAACUGAUAGUGACGGUGCCAUUGAUGGAGGCACUUGAGCAAAUGCCGAGCUAUACUAAAUUUAUGAAGGAUCUGCUGACGAAGAAGAAGAAAUUAAGCUAUGAGAUGGUGGAAAAUCUCCACCAUUGUAGUGCUAUUUUGUCACAUUCCUUAGUAAAGAAAAAGCCUGAUCCUGGUGCUUUCACUAUUCGUGCACAGUAGGAACUGUGAAAUUUGAGAAAGCUUUGUGUGACCUUUGCGCAAGUAUUAAUUUGAUGCCGCUGGCCGUCUAUAAGAGCCUUGAUGUAGGGGCACCUACUCCUACAAACAUGCAACUCAUGAUAGCAGAUAGGUCAAUCAAAAGACCUAUGGGUAUUCUACAUGACGUACUGGUGAAAGUGGCCGACUUCAUUCUCCCUACGAAUUUUAUGGUUCUAGACUGUGAUGUUGAUUUUGAGGUGCCUAUUAUUCUGGGAAGACCAUUAUUGGCCACAUGGAGAGUGCUAGUUGAUUUGCAGCUCAAUGAGCUCAAGUUUUGAGUAGGCAAAAAUAAAGCAAAGUUAAAAAUGCACUCAUCCAAGUGAAUCAAGAAGAGAUGAGUGUAUUCGCAGUCAUGGACGUAUUCUAUGUGGAUGAAAAAAGGUAUCGGUAUGAAGUCUUGGCGAAGUCUGAGUAGCCAAGAUAACUGAGCCGUGCUGUGACAUUAAAUCAGGCGUUGGUCGGAGGCAACCCAAAAUUUUAUUUUCAUUCAUUUUUAGGUUAGUUUUUAUUCUUAUAGUUAGGUUUUCAAUACCUGGAAGGCGAAAUCAAGAUUAUCUGCUAAAAAGGACCCUGACGACCUUUAUGCUAAGACGUCACACAUAUGAUGGCUUACCAUAAAAUGCCGUCAGAGAGGUUUAGUAUGAAGAAGUGUCUACCUAACCCUGAUGAUAUUUCCUAAUGAGUUACCACAACUCUGGCGGCAUUUUUCUAUGUCGUCAGGUAUUAUGGGCCCAGGUGUUAAGUUGGAUCCGACCCGGCCCAAGCUUAAACUCUUCACCUUCCUGGUAGUUUAUUUGGUUUCCAUGUUUAGUUAUUUCCUUCCUUAUCUAGAAUAUAUAAUAUCUUCCUUCCUUCUCUAACUUGAUCACAACUAAGCAAGAAAACCUUUCCCUUGAGAGAUUGGAUUGAAAGUCAAGUGACCAACUUUCUUCUCUCAUCCACAUUCUCUCACCUCAAGCUAACACUUCAUACGAACUAAGCUCCAUUGUUAAGGAAGUGUGCUAGUCGAUAAUUAGGUAUGCUCGAUGCUUAAAACUCUUCUUUCUUUUGGGUAUGUAUAAUAGGAGAAGUUCAACCUUGGUUCAAAGAAGCUUAAGUAGAUUAAAGAACUACAAGAUACUUUGAAUCUAGGGUUUUGUUGGGUUCUAACUGAAAAAGAUCUAAAGAGCAGCUCAAGAACUCAACUUAAGUUAAAAUCAAGUCGAAAUUAAAGUCAAAAAUCAAUGAAAAAGAGAGUUGAAGGAUUGUGUUCUGAGAUGAUGACAUUUAUGGUAGGACAUCACAUCUGUGAUGGCUUACCACAAAUGUCAUCAUAAGUUAAAGAAAAAAGAUGAGGUUCUGUUAAGGUCUGACGACAUAUCUGAUACGUCGUCACAGGUGUGACGUCUUACCAGACAGUGUCAUCAAAAGUUGAGAAAUUUCAGUAGUCACUGCUUGAGGCUGACGAUGUCUAUGGUAAGCCGUUAGAAAUAAGACGACUUACCAGAGAUGCCAUCAAGCCUCUGAACUAAAACUGAAUUGAACCCUUUUCAAUGAUUCUAAGCAACCACUGAUGCAUCUUGUUUAUUUAUAUGAUUUAGAACACUGAAAAUUAACUCUAACUUGCAUCAGGAAUAAAAAUGGCUCCCAAGAGAAAGAGUACUAACACUCCAAAGAAAGUGGCGAAGCCAAAAGUGGUUCGGAAGCUUAUUAAUGAGGACUCCAACUAUGAAGAUGAAGAACCACUUCUCAGGUGGAAGAGAAAGAAACCAAGCCUAAAGGCAUCUCCUCCACCUAAACCCAUUCAAGUGGAGGAUAGUGAUGAUACUGAAACUACUACCCCACCUGACAGUGAGUCCUCCAAGAAAGAGGGUUCUAAGUAAACCGAGUUCGAAUAGCCUGAGUCUGAGAAGGCUAAAUCUGAAGAGUAGAGGUAUGAGGAGAUAAAAUCAGGACCACCAUUCUCAGAAAAGCAAAGUGGUGAUGAUUCUCCAAUUCAGAGAUCUGUAGAGAGAUGCCAAAACCCAGAGGUUAAAGAUAAUAUCAGAUGGCUCAUUUCGGGAGCUGAGAAGGUAUAUCUUGAUGGUCAGCAUAGAACUCAGCGGAGACCUAUUUGGAGACCUAUCUUUGAAGAAAAACAAAUCAUUACCAAGGGGUUGAUCAACUACUCGGAGGUGAUGAAAAAGUUCCAAGAUUAUGGCCUAGAGUGGACUACCAGAAUAGGAGAUUUCUACAGUCCAUUAGUAGUAUGGGAGUUUUAUGCAAACUACCAAGCAGACCUGGAAAAUAGAUGCAAGGAAGAUGAAAGAAUAUCGAACAUGCCAUUACUGGAGAAAAUUGCAAUGAGGGGAGUGAUGAUGAGUAUCUCAGACACAACAAUCAAUCGGUUUCUUCAUGGGCCAAACUUCAAUGAUCAGGAUACUUCACCCAUAUUCUAUGCUCGUUUGAAAGAUAAGGCGCAGAUGGUUGGCUACUCACAUAGUGGAGGGAGAGCCUAUUUGGUUAACCAACCCGAAUGAAAGGAUCUACAAAGCUUCUCUGACACCUGAGGAAAAGUUCUGGUGGGGUGUAGUGUGCAUGCACUUGAUCCCUACAAAAAAUGAUAAUCUAUUGGGAGAUGACAGGGCCGCACUAGUUGCUAGUCUAGUGACUGGGAUGUCCCUAGAUUUUGGUGAAAUUAUUGCUGAGGAGAUAAAGAUUCGGAUGUCUAGGCCUGACACUGCAUAUCCAUUCCCGUGUUUGAUCACUAAGCUAUGUGUAGUAGUAAAUGUGCCCGAGAUCGUAGGUGUGGUGAGGAUGUCGAUGCUAGAAAGACUCACAACCCGAUCAGAAGUGAAGAAAAUCUACCUACAUUGAGGCUUGAGAGGGGAGAAGAGGUAGCAGUUGAGCCUCAUAUUCCAGAUUCUAGUUCAGUGCCUACUGUGGAGGCACAAGCUCCUCAGGUAGCAGCAGUACCACCACCACCUUCAGCACAGGCAGGUUCAGUGCCUGUAACCGAGUUAGCCCAUUAGCUUUUGCAGCAUCAGAAGGACUUGCUUUUAACUUGCCAAACUUCAGAAAAAUCUCUAGAAAAACUCAAUGGUGCGAGGCUCAGCUGAAGUAGUUUGCAACUGUAGUAGAUAAGAGAAUUAGGGCUGCACUUGAGCCUUAUGUGUCCUUGCCUGCUAGGUUUUCUAAUUUGGUGAAUCGGUUUGAUGUGUGAGAAAGAGAAAUGUCGAGUACAGAGCUUAAAUAGUUUAGAUCUGAGUUUAAGCAGAUAAAGACGGAGUUUGGAGUGAUUAGAUAGCUCCAGCGCAUUACAGUAAUAGAAGAUAUGGCUAAGGAGCCCAAAGGUGAAUUAGAGUUGCUUGAUCUUAUUGAGGAGCCUGUAUAGAAAAAGAAAAAAAAAGAAAAGAAAGAUGAAAAGAGAGAAGAAAAGAGAAAGAGAUAAGAAGAUGAUGAGAAUGAGGGCAAAGCCGAGAAAAAGGCAAAGAAGAAGAAGAAGGCUCAAAAAACAAGAGCAAAAGAGAUGACGCAAGCAAUUGAUAAGGUAGCAGCCACCAACAAAGCGAACCUAAAAUGUGCAAUACAAGCAUCCCUAGAGGACCACUUGAGAAGGGAGGAGGCACUUCGAGCUAGAGCCAUAGGAGCCUCAUCCAGUGCACCUCCUUCAGAUGUAGUGGUAGAUGAGCUAGCGCAACAGCAGGCUCCAGAUAUAAGUGUCCCAACUGGAAAUACUGUUGUGGGGGGUAAAACCCCAUGAUUCUCGUACUUGAUAUCUACCAGGUACGCCCUAAACCCUUAGUUUUAUUUUCUUUUGAUUUUAAGUUGAGGGUGUAGGGUAGCAUGUUGUUGUAGCAUAUUUUAUAAAUAACGAGGAGUAGUACAAGUUCUGUAAGUAGUCAACUAAUUUUUUUAUUAUUUUGAACACCUCUCCAAAGGUUUAUUUUGCAUGACUGUGUGAAUUUUCUCAAAUUGUGACUAUUGAGCAUCUGGUUAGGGCAUUAGUUUUGUGCUUAAUAAUCACAGCUGAAUAACUGCAUGAAGCAGAUAAGUAGUAGUUAGUGAAAUGCUUGUGUGCCAAGUAUGUGUGAGAUCUUACUGUGUUCCUUGUGGUAUUGCUAAAUCUAGAACUUGCCCAAUUCAUUUUGCCUUGGUUGAGAGUUAGGGGUUAGGAAAGGAUCAUAGGCUGUUUUUGAAUUUAAGUCACUUUUAGCCUAAAUGAACUUUCCUGUAAUGCAUUAUAUCCCUUGGUCCCUGUUUGAGCCUAAAUUAACUAUUUUCUUUCUAUGAAACCCAUCACAUUCCCUUUUUAAAUCAUAAUGAAUCUGGUUUAGCCCUGGUCCUCCUUGGACACUGUGCACCUCAACGUAGGCAAACAACCUAAUUUGAGGGUGGCUAUCAUAGGGGUGCGUGAUAUAAGAUGGGUAUGAAGAAGUGUAGAAUAGAAAAGAAAGAAUCAAAGAAAAAGAAUAAAAGGUUGGGUGUUAGUGAAAAAGAGCAAGUAAAGAAAAUCUGUUGGAAUAAAAAGAAGUGCACCCAUCCUGAAAGUGUGAUCAAGAAAAGAAAAAGAGAGAAAAAGAGGUUAAUAAGUGGACCCCAUAAGAUAAGGUAGUGCCAAGGAGGUUAUUCACUCUAAAGGUCGUUUAACACCAUACCAGCCCCUAGCCUACGUUACAAGCUGGAGAAAGUCCUAUAGUGAUCCUAGCUUACCUGUCUAGACACUUCGAUAAUGACGAUAAGGGCAAGCAUAUGGUAUUUGGAAUACACUGGUUGAACUUCAUUCUGAGUGUGAGAGUCUUUGUGAUUAUCCCCAUGAUUAUACCUUGAUUGUUGAUAAUGAGAGAAAAGGGGAAUUUCUUUGUUGUGAGGGCACACUAGUAUCUUGCUAAGUUACUUGCUUGUUUAGGUAGUGUACAUUACAUGCAUGAUUAUUGGUACUUAGUAAUGCCACAGGUAAAAGCCUUUGUGUUACAUUAUUUUUUUUAAUAAAUUGCACAGUAGUUUGAGUUGGUUGACCUUGGAGGUGGUAAAUUGAGUUUUGAGCUAAAAAUUGGUUGUUGACUGCUGAAUGUUCGUUGUAUUCUCUUAGUUGUGUUUUGCUUGCUUGAGGACAAGCAAUUGUUUUAAGUUGAGGGUGUUGAUGUGUGAGCAGAUGCUAACACAUUUGAGGCUUUUAAUUCUAAAUAAUUGAGAAGUCUUAAGCAACUUUUGGUUGUUUUUGAUCGUUUUCUUAUGAUAUUGCAGUUGUAGCAAGGAUGGGAGGAUAACAUAGGAAAAAUGAACAAAAUAAGUAAAAUCUGGUACAAGUAAGCUGAUAUGAGUCUGACGGCAUUUCUUGCAAGUCGUCAGGAUAUGGUAAGCUACCAGAACAAGGCGUCAGGAAGAACAGUGGAGAAGAGUUGCUGGAUGAGAGUGACAACAUUCUUAAUAUGUCGUCACAAGUGUGGUAACCCAUCAGAAUAUGCCGUCAGAGUGAGGCAGAACAUGGUGAAAUAAGCUGAAGAUCUGACGACAUUUGCUACACGCCGUCACAAGUAUGGUAAUCCAUUAUAGGUAAUCGUCAGAGUGAGGAAGAACAUGUCAAGAUGGCAUGACUUCUGAUGACAUAUCUGUGACACCGUCAGAAGCCUGACGACCAACACCAAUAUGGCAUCACCUAAAUCCAAGCCCAACUGUGAUUUUAUUAUUUUAUUUCCUUAAUUAGGAUUUAGUAUAAAUAGCAGUUUUUAGGAUUUUUAAGGAAAGUUUUUCAUUAUUCAGAACAAGAAUUUUGGAGGGAGAAACACGUACAUUGUUCUCUUUUGCCAAUUAUUUUUUGUUUCUUUCUUAUCAACUAUUAUUGGGUUUCUAACUUGGGAUUUGAUUGAAGAAAUUAUUUGUUAUUUUCCAUCUGUAUGUAAGUUUAUCAUUAUCAUCAUGAAUUCAACUUGUGAUUUCCUUCGUCAAAUCAUGAGUGGCUAAUUUCUUUAGCCGGGGUUAUGGGAUCUAAGGAUUAGGGUUUGAUCUUAUGCUAGGUGUUUAACGAAUUCAAAGAGUAGUAGAACAUCUUGAAAUUCUGUGGUUUUAACUGAAAUGUAGUGGUUUCAAACAUUAGAUUAUGCCUUAGGUUUUAUUUGCUUCUAACGGAGAAAUAGACUAGAGGACGGGAAUUAUCAAUAGGGAGUCAGAAGCUACCAACCUUCUAUUUAAUGAUAAUGCCGUAACUGGAUUAAUCUACCUGAGAUAACAUCUGAUUGGAUAUAGAUAAAUUAUCUAAGUUCGAGAGAAUUAGAUAAUAAAUUGUCUGGUGAGGUCGAGAGAUAAGUUAGAUAGUAUCAUAGUCAGGGAUAUUCUGUUGUUCUACUCAUUCUGAGGAUCUCUAGCAUUACCUGGUAUCUGUCAAUACCUGAAACCUUUGGUGAUCAUAACCUUGGUUUCCCAUUUAUAUUGAUAACAACUCUAAAAAUUCAAAAAGUGAAGAUUGAUACAUUGUGAACUUUAAACCCCCAACUUUCGAAAACGAUAAGUAAAGUAUUUCGUAAACAAAUUGACGUUCACACCCUAUUCCUUGUGGGUUUAAUAUUGACAAUGAUCACUUACACCCAUUCAAGAGUGUAAUUUGAGCGUUAUCUAGGCUAUACCAUGGGCGACGGGCGCCCCUUAAUAGCCUUUGGCUACUGGUUCAAAAUCCAAACAAGCCCUUAACGGAUUUUGAAAAUUUCAAAACUCACCCAGAAUGAACUCUUGCCAUGACCCCAACGCAACACAACUUAAAAAUCAUAAAAUGGAGGUCGGGAAGGUCUUCAAAUAAAUUCCUAAAGUUUGAAGGCUUAAAAUGAGACUAAGUGUUGAACACUUAGCUAAAAUUUUUAAGUGUUGGAGCUUGUAAAGCUUAGGGAGAUGAGUUUUAGACUUAGAAAUUUAUGGGAUCUUACAAUGUCUGACAUUUCCCUAACUAACUCCAACUAAUAAAUUAAUUAAUGAGGUAAUAAAAGAAUGAUCGUGUCCUCCAAAAAUGAGGGCUCACUGCUAACUCUGACUGCUGAGAUUGGAAUGGUACUAAUGCUCUAGAGCUCGUGUCUUUGAACCUAUGGUAUAAGACACCAUAGCGCAAAAUACAUCAGUACUUUAAAUGUACUGGUAUGCAUGUGAGGUAGGCUGAAUGCAUGAAGUUUAUAUGCAUGAACAAUACUGACUAACUGACUAAUAUGAAUGUGACAAAUAUAUGUAUGAAUACAUAGUAACUAUUAAUGAAAUCAUGAUAACAUGAUUUUACUGAUAACUAACAUGACUGAUAACUGAGUUCUGAUGACUGAUAUAACUGAUAACAUGAGUGACUGUAUCUGACAGUCCUGAAUAUGAUGGAACUAGUUGAGUUUCAUACUGUUCUAAGUUGACUGUAUCUGAUAAUCUUGAAAUUCUAUAAAACUAUCUGAGUUCUAUUACUGAGACUGAAUAACUAUAUCUGAUAGUCCUAAUUUUUGUAAUUGAAACUGUGGGAAGUAGUCAUCUAAUCGACAUGCCCCUAAUACGCCAUUAUGACUGAGUUGGGGUCUAAUCUGUAACCCUAAUUAGAAGGGUGUCAAUACCAUGCCACCUGUGAGGACAAGCUGUGAGUGACCCUCAUCUGACAGUGUCCCCAAAAGAGAAUGGUGGGGCCCUCAUCUGACAGUGCUUAUCCACCUCAUCAACCCUCAUCUGACAAUGUUGAUGUCUCAACCUAUGCUGGCUACAUAGUUUUGGAAUGCAAGAAUGACUUCUAAGAAUCACACCAUUAUCUGACAGUGUGUGUUUCCAUCCUUGGGUUCACUUGGUGCUAAUUUCUACUCCUAUCUGAAUAGACACUAAACAUGGAUUACUAAACUGAACUGGACUGGGUUAACUGAGUUUCGUUGAAUGGAGAAAUAUUACUGAAAUUUCUGUAUUACUGAGCUUUCUGAGAUUGCUGGGAUUUUUGAGUUUUACUGAGUUUUCCUAAGUGACAUGACUAACUGAAUUCUACUGAACAUGGCUUGACUGAGGAUAUCAUGAAAAUAUGACACUGGCCGUAGGCACACAGCUAAAUAUUGGGUAUAAGUACCCCUAGGACUCGAUGGAAAAAAAUUGACAAAGCAUGACUUUCUUGAGUACAUGACCAACAUCACAAUUCAUAAUUCAUUUAUUGAGGCAUUUCAUCAAACAUGUGAUAUUCAUAAACUUGUACAUACAUGAGGAUUUCAUAAUAUCAUACUAGUUGGGAACUUUUCUUUCACAUAGGCAUUUAAUCAUGGUAAGCAUAGUAUAUGUAGACAACAUUAUACAACAAAUAUACAUCAUGAUUCAACUCUAAUUUCAUCAUCCAAGGGUGUAAUCAUAGGUUCACGUGAAUCUACACCUAUACUAAUCAAUUCCACAUAAAAUUGAUCACCCAACAUGGGUUAGAAUUCAAUUGGUCAUUUUCAACAUGAACAAAAGCAAACCCAAUAUGAAAUUCAUAAAAAAAAACAUACACUUGAACUUUGAAAAGAGAUUCGUGGGACUCAUGGAUGAAAGGAGUCCAUGAAUGAACACUAUGCAUACCUGGUAGUGAGUUUCUUGAAGUUCUUGAACUUGAAGAUUUGAAAUCUCUUAGUUCUUAAAGAAGAUUUGGAUUUUGUUGCUUAAGGAUUGCUCUUAGGGAGAAAAUCAUAAUUUGAAUGUUGUGGAAGAAUAAUAAAAUUAUGAGCCUUGAUCGGUUAUUACUAGGUAUAUAAGCGAGUGGUAAAAGACCAAAAAGCCACUUUAAAAUGGCUUAAAAAUUUACUGAACAGAACCUGCGAUGGAUUGUGCGAUGGUCUGUCGCUGGAUCGAUGGUCCGUCAUUUCGACUAGGAUAGCGACUCACUGCCUAAGUAGAAAUGGCUUGGGCGAUGGUUCGUCGCAAGUCCGACGGUCCGUUAACCUGUCCGUCGCAAUUUAUCCAGAAUAUUGCUGCACUGCCUUGGCUGCGAUGGGCCAUCACUGGAUUGAUGGUCCAUCAACCUGGCCAUCACCUUCUCUUUCGCUAUCGGAUUUGGACAAAAUUAGCACCGUUGGAAAGAUAAUUCAAUUUUCCACAUGAUAAAAAGUGAAAAUCUUAAAAAUACCACAUGUAUAAAAGUGGAUUCACCUUUCAAAGAAAGAUUCUAACAAUCUUGGGAUAAUUUCAAGCUAGAAAAAAGUAUGGGGUAUUAAAGUGUUGAGAUAAAAGAAACUGUGGUCAAGUUGAUGGUAGUUGAAGGUAGUUAGUGUAUGUGUACUUGUUAGUUAGAGGUGACAACUGUCAUUAUACAACUGUCACAAGAAUCCAAAAUUGUUUAUAAAUACAUGUAGUUACAACUCAAAUCAAUAGCAUAAUUCAGGUACUAAAUUUCUUCUGCUAGAUUCUUCUUUUCUUUCUCUCCGUUCUUAGAUUAUACAGAAUAUUAAUUGGUAUCAGAGCUAGGUUCGACUGAUCGAAGGUUGUGGUUGAUGCUUGAAACCAUUGAUCACACACAAUAAAUAAAGUAUAUAGUAGUAGCUUCUUCCAUUUCAGUUCUCCAGUGUUCUGUCCAUGGCGAUUACUUGAAAUUCCUCUGCCGAUGAGGCUUAAACAACAUCAUCUCCUACAACUAUAGAGUCUUGAUCUGUUACAAUUGAGAUUAACCAUAAUCAUUCUCUGUACUUGCAUCCUAAUGAUACACCAGGUAGCUCACUUAUCUCAAUUCAACUUAGUGGUUCUGAGUAUUAUACCCUUUGGAGUAGAUCCAUGGCUCUUAGUCUGGUAGGGAAGAAUAAAGUAUGCUUUAUUGAUGGUCAUUAUCCCAAAAAUUACUAUGAUGCUUCCCUAUAUGAUUAAUGGGAGAGAGUCAAUGUUGUGGUACUUUCCUGGAUCAUGAAUUCUGUGAGAAAAGAUCUCUUAAGUAGUAUAAUCUAUGCCUCGAAUGCACAUAAUGUAUGGAUAGACUUAAAGAAAACGUUUGACAAAGUGAAUGGAUCUAGAGUGUUUGUUUUGCAUUGGGAAAUUAUUACUCUGACUCUAGGUACUUUGUAUGUUUCUGAUUAUUUUUCUCAGAUGAGAACCCUCUGGGAUGAAUCUGAUGCUCUUAUGCCUUCUUCCAGAUGCAAUUGCUCUGAGUCUAGUAGCUAUGCUCAACACUUUGAAUACCAGAGGGUUCUGUAGUUCCUUAUGGGACUGAAUGAAUCAUAUUCUCUGUGUUGAGGUCAAAUCUUUCUAAUGACUCUCAUUCUUUCCAUUAAUAAGGUAUAUUCCAUGGUUGUUGAUCAGGAGAGUCAAAGGAUCAUAGCUAGUAAUUCAUCUCUUAGUCAAGUUACUGAUAGUCUAGAAAUAACAAACUUCUUCACUCACAAAUCAGGAAAUAAAGGGAAGGGAGUAUAUAUGGGAACUGGUAGUUCUGGUACUGCAUAUUCAUCAGUAAAUAUGAAGGCUGUAGGUGGUUAUGAAAGGAGAUCACCUACUUCAAAUUACAGAAAUAUUGCAUAGAAAAGACCUUUGGUAGUUUGUGAGUUCUGUGGUUACAAUGGCCAUACUAGGGAGCACUGUUUCAAACUCAUUAGGUAUCCCACAGACUGGUAGAAAUCUAAGAAGAAAAGUGUAGUCCAGUUUGCAUAUCAAGUGGGAAAUAUUUCUUCUAUUGCUAAUCAUGAUACCACCUAUUCAGUCAACUUAACUUUCACAAAUGAUCAGCUCUCUCAGUCUGGAUUGUCAUCUUAUGUUCCACACUUUACAUAAGACCAAUACAAUCAGAUUGUCAUGAUAAUUAACAAAGGUAAAGAUGAGAAGGAUUCCACUCCACCUAUAGCAAAUGUAGGUAUCAUGCUAGUCUUAACUGCUACAACUAUAAGUAAUAGUUGGGUUAUUGACACUGGUGCUACUAAUCAUAUGGCUUCUAGUCUUGAUUUUUUGCAUAGUGAUGAAGUAUCUCAAACAUCACAAAAUAAAUUAUAUAUUCCUACAGGUAGUGAGGUGGAAGUAUCUCACAAGGGCACCUUAAUUGUACUAAACAAUUUCUCUAUUUCUAUGUUUUGUAUUUGCUUGAGUUCAAAUAUAAUUUUUUAUCUGUGUCAAACCUGACUAGGGAAUUGCAGUGUUUAGUGGGAUUCUUUUUUGACUUCUGUAUAUUCCAGGAUCUCUAUACUGGCAUAGUGUUGGGGAUUGGUAGAGAAUAUUAAGGCUUAUACAUUCUCAAAAGAAGUUUUGCUCCACAAAACUAUAUACAUAAAAGUGCUAAUAAUGUGUAGUUAUCCUUUAACUUCAACAUACUUUAGGAUAGAAGCAUGGAACAUGCUUCUAUUGAAGUUCUCAAGAAAUAUGCUUCACUGAAUCACCUGAAGUUUGAAUAUCAUGUGUGUACUAUGUGUCGUCUUGCAAAGCAUGCCAAGUUACCUUUUCAGUCUAGCAGUUCUAUGUCCACAACUACUUUUUCUCUAGUGCUUUGUAAUAUAUGGGAUCCCUAUAGAGUUCUUACCUACAGUAAUAAGAGGUUCUUUGUUACCAUAGUGGAUGAUUACGCUAGAUUUACUUGGUUAUUUCUUAUUCAGUUCAAGUCUGAAGUAAUAGUGGUGUUAAAAGAUUUUCUAACUAGAGUGCAAAACUUGUUCUCUGCCUCUGUAAAGGUGCUAAGAACUGAUAAUAUAUGUGAAUUUUUAAGUCAUAAGCUCAAGUUACUUAUGUCUUCUCUUCGUAGAUUGCAUUAGACCUCUUGUGUCUAUACUCCUCAACAAAAUAGAGUAGUAGAAACAAAACAUAGCACUAUUUUGGGCAUUGUAAGAUCUCUCAGGUUUCAAGAAGGAACCCUCUCAAAUUUUGGGGAGAAUGUGUAGACACUGCAGUAUAUUUGCUUAAUAGAAUUCCUUCCAGAAUCCUUCAAUACAAAUAUCCUUAUGAGUUAUUGUAUCAACACUCUUCUUCUUUAUCUCAUGUGAGAGUGGUUGGUUGUCUUAGCUAUGCAUCCAGUUAUUAUGGUUCAGACAAGUUUGCAGCUAGAUUUAUACCUAGUGUGCUCAUGGGUUAUUCUUCUACUCAGAAAGGAUAUAGGAUGUAUGAUCUUCACACUAAGUCCUUCUUUACGAGUAGAAAUGUAGUGUUUCAUGAGUCUAUUUUUCCUUUCCUACAAACUAACUCUACUGGUUCUCCUCUCUUUCUUGUACUAUAAUUAUCUACAGUUGAAAAUAGUCUAUCCUCUCUUUCCUUUCCUUUCUCAUCUCCCGAGCAGGUGCAUAACCCUGCUCUUUCUCUGGUCACACAUCCCUAUAAUCCCUCUAUCCUUCAACCUUCUAAUCCAUCCUCCACCUUGUUAGACUUUUUUCCUACCACUACUACUCCUACACUCAGAAAAUCCACUAGAACCAGGAAUCUUUCUAUAUGGAUGCAUGACUUUGUUACCUCUAAAUCUACUUCAUCCAAUCAAUGCCUUUAUCCUAUAUCUUCCUAUAUGUCCUACUCUAAGUUAUCUCCAUAUUAUAAUUAUGCUCUCUCUAUGUACUCUUCUAUUCCUAAACCAUCUUUCUUUCUUGAAGCUUCAAAAGAUCCAUUAUGGAUUGAAGCUAUGAAAAUGGAAAUUAUAGCACUAGAGGAAAACAAUACCUGGUCCAUUGUAGAUCUACCUCCUAGCAAGGUCCCUAUUGGUUGUAGAUGGGUUUAUAAGGUUAAAUAUAAAGCCUCUGGGGAAGUUAAGAGGUAUAAGGCCAGGCUAGUAGCCACGGGCUAUAGCCAAAAGGCCGGUGUAGACUAUUCAUGUAACACCCUAACUUAGAAAGAAGUCCCACAUUAGCAAAAUACAAGAGGGAUAUUGGGUAUAUAAGUGAAAAAACCUUACUCCCUAGUGAUGCAUUUUAAAUCCAUGAGGGCCUGGGCCCAGAGUGGAUAAUAUCACUAGGGGUUGGGCAGAGAUAGAGAUAUCUUGGGCCUAUGUGGUUCGGGAUGCCCGUCGUAGCUGGGUUGGGUCGUGAUAGAAUGGUAUUAGAGACGCUCCUAUGUCGUCCCUAUCGAUGUGGGCCAGAGUUCAAACUGAGUGUAGGCAAAUCCCGAUAAGGCGGGGCAAACCUCAGUCUUGAGUGUAGGCAAAUCCCAUUCGGUGGGGCAAACCUCAGCGAGGACACUGAGUCCAUAAGGGGGGGUAUAUGUAACACCCCAACUUAGGAAGGAGUUCCACAUUGGCAAAACACAGAAGGGAUACUGGGUAUAUAAUUGAGAAAGUCUUACUCCCUAGUGACGCAUUUUAAAGUCGUGAGGGAUGGGCCUAGAGUGGAUAAUAUCACUAGUGGGUUGGGCAGAGAUAAGAGUAUCUCGAGCUUGUGUGGUUCGGGAUGCCCAUCGCGGAUGGGUCGGGUCGUGAUAGAAUAUAUAACACCCCAACUUAGGAAGGAGUCCUACAUCGUCAAAACACAGGAGGGAUACUGGGUAUUAUAAAUGAGAAAGCCUUACUCCCUAGUGAUGCGUUUUAAAGCUAUGCGGGCCUGGCUCCAAAGCGGACAAUAUCACUAGUGGUUGGGGAGUGAGAGAGGUCUCUCGGGCCUUCAUGGCUCGGGAUGCCCGUUGUGGCUAGGGCCUCGGCUUGGGUAAUGAUAUAAUGGUAUCAGAACCGCUCCUGUGUCAUCCCUGUCAAUGUGGGCUAGAGUUCAAACUGAGUGUAGGUGAAUCCCGAUAAGGGGGGGGCAACCUCAGUCCUGAGUUUGGGCAAAUCCCAUUCGGUGGGAAAAACCUUAAUGAGGAUGCUGAGUCCGUAAAGGGGGUGUAUGUAACACCCCAACUUAGGAAAGAGUCCCACAUCGGCAAAACACAAGAGGAAUACUGGGUAUAUAAGUGAGACAGCCUUAUUCCUUAGUGACAUAUUUUAAAGUCGUGUGGGCCUGGGCCCAAAGCGGAUAAUAUCACUAAUGGGUUGGGGAGUGAAAGGGGUCUCUCAGGCCUUCAUGGCUCGGGAUGACCGUCGUGGCUAGAGCUUCGGCUCGGGUCAUGACAAUUCAGAUACCUUUUCUCUUGUUGCUAAGAUGGUAACUGUCAGAACUCUUAUUGUCCUUGCUGUUUCUAGGCAAUAGAUCAUCUUCAAAAUGGAUGUUCAUAAUGCUUUUCUUAGUAUAGAUCUCUUAGAAGAAGUCUACAUGAAACUUCCUGAUGGUUCUUGCAGUCAAAGGGAGACUCAGAAGGUCUGUAAGUUACACAAGUCUUUGUAUGGCUUGAAACAAGCCCCUAGAUAGUGGAACAAGAAGCUAACUGAUGCUCUCUCUCAUAUGGGAUUUAUUCAAAGCCACUUUGACUACUCUCUAUUCACUAUGAAGUAGGAGAUGACAUAGUGAUCAUUCUUGUCUAUGUGGAUGAUCUAUUGAUCACAGGAAACAAUCUCAUAUUGAUAAAUCAAGCCAGAGCUAAUUUUCAACACAACUUCAAAAUAAAAGAUCUUGGAGACUUGAAGUUCUUCUUGGGCUUAGAGAUAGCUAGGUCUAAAUAAGGUAUAGUGUUAAGCCGAUGGAAGUAUGCUCUUGAACUUAUCUCUGAGGCUGGUUUGAGUGGAGCAAAACCUAUUGGUACUCCAUUUAAAGUAAACCAGAAGUUAACUUCAGUAGAGUAUGAUGAUCAUAUAACCAAUGAAAUAGUAAAUAGUGAUAAAGUUUUGAAGGAUCCAACAGCUUAUCAAAGACUAGUAGGGAGGUUACUGUACCUUACCAUGACAAGACUAGACUUGUCAUUUAUGGUCCAGGUGCUAAGCCAAUAUAUGCACUGCCCAAAGAACUCACAUAUGAAAGCUGCUCUGAGAGUUGUGAGGUACAUAAAAGCUAAUUCGGGUCUAGGAUUAUUUAUGCCUGUAUAGUCUACAAACUCGCUAACAGUAUUUUAUGAUAUUGGUUGGGGUGCUUGCCUACGAACCAGAAGGUCAGUUGCAGGAUAUGUGGUAAAGUUUGGAGAUGCUCUGAUCUCUUGGAAGUCAAAAAAACAAGAGACAGUAUCUAGAAGCUCUGCAGAAGAAGAGUUUAGGAGUAUGGAAACAUGCAGUCCAGAGAUUACAUGGCUGCUUAGUCUGUUUCAAGAGCUAGGAGUUCCAAUCAAACAACCUGUAGACUUAUUAUGUGAUAACAAGGCAGCGGUACAAAUUGCAGCUAAUCCCAUUUUUCAUGAGAGGACAAAGCAUAUUGACAUAGAUUGUCACUUUGUGUGGGAAAGAAUUAAUCAGAACAUGAUCAAGACCAAUCAUGUGAAUUCAAAAGAGCAACUUACAGAUAUUCUCACAAAAGACUUGGGUAAAAAUCAAAAUGAGUACUUGCUAAACAAGUUACGAAUAAAGAACUUUGUCAAGCCAUCAGCUUGGGGGGGAGUAUUGAGCUAAAAUAAGUUGAGAUCAAGUUGAUGGUAGUUGAAAGUAGUUAAUGUAUUUGUACGUAUUAGUUAAAGGUGACAAUUGUCAUUAUACAGCUGUCACAAGAAGCAAAAACUGUCUAUAAAUACAUGUAGUUACAACUCAAAUCAAUAACAGAAUUCAGUUACUAAAUUUCUUCUUCUAGAUUCUUCUUUUCUCCCUCUCCAUUCUUAGCUUAUACAGAAGAUUAACAGUUAGAUUUGUUAUUGAAUAGAUUCAUGUUUAAUUGCGCUGUCUAUUUGAACCUAUUAUAUUUUCACGGGUUAAAUUUAAAAUUAAAUCUCGAAUCAUAUAAUCUCACUUUCUGAAAAUAUACUAGUAUGUUGUUGUAUUUGCACAAAUGGACUUCUUUUAGACACUUUGACAAUUAUAUGGAUAUUCUUAAUUGGUUCAAUCGACACAAGAAUUUGACAAUUAUAAAGUUAAUUUAGCGAUUGAGAAAAAUUAAUUUUGAUGCAAUAAAUUGAAUUUUCUUGAAGUUUUUUGUGUAAGAAGAUGAUCUUAUUACAGAAAUCCACAAGAAAAUAUUUUGACAUGUAUUUAAUUCGAGUUAUUAAUAUGGGUAGGAGCGAAAAAAAAUAAAUAGAGGUAGAAAAGAGAGUGGGGGGCGGGGGUGAGGAAGAAGAAGGAAAAGAAAAAAAUUUGUGGCUGAAAAUAUAAAAGUGGGCCGUACUUAUAUUUUUCCCACGUCAGCCAUUAAACGGAUAAUACAAUUAACGCAAAAGUUGUUUUCUUUUUUUUUUUUUUGGGGGGGGGGGGGGGGGGGUGAGGGUAAAUAAUUACCUAUAAAGUUAAGGUGCUAAAGUAAGUUAUGACGACAAGUUCGGGGGUAUUUAUGCUUUUUUCCUUAUGUCUUUUUAAAUUACAUUAUGUACUUAUCUAUAGAAAUAUAUAUAAAUUCUAAUUUAUGAAGUAGAAAUGUGAAAUAUAGUUGGAGGCCUAUUUGUAUUUCAUAUCAAAGAAUAAAGCGUAUUUAAAUUCAAGGUUUAACUUAAGGGAUUAUUUUGAUCAUUUUUCUCUCAAAAAAUAAGGAUUAUUUUAGCAAUUAUUAGUUUGUAAGAAAAAAGUAUAAAGUUGAAUGACAUUAUCAAAAUAAAAAGAAAAAAAAAAAGAUAAGGGAUUUUAAUGGAACAUUUUCUUAAGUGAGUGUAAAUGUGAGAAAUUGACACAUCAAUCCCAUUUUAAUUUGGAAAAUUUUAUCUUUCUUUUUUGAUUAACCAAUUUUUAAUAUUUUUCUUCCUUCAAAUCCAUUACUUAAUUUUAAUUUGAGCACAUCCAAACUUUAAUUUUAAUUUGACCAAAAUCCAAUUGUUUAAUUUGAAUUUGACCAAAAUUCAAUUAUUUUCCUAUAAAUUCACAGAAGAAUUCAUCACCAAAUUGAAACACAAUUCAUACAAAUCUCCAAUCUUCAUAUAGGUGCCUAUUUGACACUUUCUUUUUUCUGUCUUUUAUUGGCGGGAAUUUUAAUUUGACCAAAAUCCAAUUGUUUAAUUUGAAUUUGACCAAAAUUUAAUUAUUUUCCUAUAAAUUCACAGAAGAAUUCAUCACCAAAUUGAAACACAAUUCAUACAAAUCUCCAAUCUUCAUAUAGGUGCCUAUUUGACACUUUCUUUUUUCUGUCUUUUAUUGGCGGGGGCAUUUAUUUAUGUAACGUUUCAUUGCGAAAGAGUUAUUCCAAAAUAAUUAGUUAUGGAAUUGGUUAUCUCACCAUGUACAUAGAAUAAUUUAUUCCAUCACUAUGGUGUAAAUGGUGGGAUAAAUAAUUAUGUUACUAAUUAAUGUCUCACACCAAACAUGAAAUAAAAUAGUUCUUCAUUUUAUUUCAGGACUAUUUAUCCCUUAUACCUCACACCAAACGACCUCUUAUACACCAUAGUGUAAAGAUAGUAUGCUUUCCUGAUUUAUUAAAAAUUAACAAUAUUUGUUAAAUUUUCUUUACAAUUUUUUUUAAUGAGUAUUUUUUUUGUUGUUGCAAGCAUAGAAUGAGACGUGAUUAUAUCUUUGUUUAUUUUUAUUUUUAUUUUUGAUGAAUUCAGAGAAUGUUGAUUCACCAAAGAAAAGUUCUACCUAUUUUGUUGGUAUUAUAUUUGCUUCUGAGUUACGACGGAGUUCAAGGAGAAAUGAGGUUGUCCAAAUUAGAGGAAUUAUCAUUGGAAAAGCAACUUAAACUAUUGAACAAACCAACAGUAAAAACAAUUAAGGUACAAGUUCUUCACAUAAUAUUGUACAACCUUUUAUAUGUAUUCACAACUAACACUAAUUUGAUAGCUUGUAAGUGUAUAAUAUAACUGUUUUGGUUCAUAGGCUGAAUGGGGAGAUACAUACGAUUGUGUGGAUUUCUACAAACAAUCUGCAUUUGAUAAAUUUCGUAAUCAUUUUGGUUUCUUUCUGGGUAUAAGGCUUCACAAGAAUAGUAUUGUAGAUAGAUUAAUUUAAGAAUUUGCAGAUGAAAUCCACUUUAUCGACGAUGAAGCAAAUUUCAAGUAACUCAACCAUUGAUAUUUCAUGGACUUGGCUCAAGACCGAUAGUUGUCCUUCUGGAACUGUUCCCAUCAAAAAAAUUACCAAAGAUAAUCUUAUUAGACAAAGACGUAUGCCACCACCAGAGGAUGUAAGCUAAUAUUACAUUAAUUUACAGCUUUCUUGAUUACUUCCUUCUUUCCCAACAUAAUAUAUAAUGUUUAAAAGUGAAGCCCAAUUUUGUUGAUGUUAGAUAAUGUUGCACCAAUUUGUUUCAUUUACUUUAUGUAUAUAUCUGACAAAUUUUAUUUCUGUUGUGCAGACGAACAUCAUUCAUGCUAAACAAGAGGAUUCAGGGUAAAUGAAUAUGAAAUUGAUUUUUUUCUUCAUUUUUUUCAAUAUUAUAUUUUGCCUUCGGGUUGAAUUUGAAGUAAUAAAAUGUAGAAUAAAUUGGUUAUAUGUUUAUCAAAGUUUGACAAAAUUCUUCUAAGUUCCUUAAGAUUCAAGCGAAUAAACAUAAUUUUAAAUUGGAUAAUCUAUGUAAUUAGUUAAUAAAAAAUUAUUUUUUAAAUUCAGGGUGCAAUAGUUAAAACUCCACGUAAUGCAAGUAACAAAUUUGUUGGCGCUGAAAUGAUAGCUAAUCUAUGGAAUUCUAGUGUCGAAGGUACACAAACUAGUGCGUGUCGAUUGAAGAUUCAAAAAGGACAAGAUAGUGUGCAAGUUGGUCGGAGAGUAAGAUUAACACAUUUUUAUAUAAUUUAACUAUUUUCUACUACUUGCAAUAGAUUUAAUGGUUAUAACAUCUCUAUUUCUUUGUUUUAGGUAGAUCGAACAUUAUACGGGGAUAUUAAAACUAGAUUUUUUAUACACUUCCAAGUAAGCUUUCUUAGGCACUCCAUUAAAUGAUGUCAAUGUCGUGUUCAUGAUAUUUGAAUUUUUCAAUCUAGCUACCAUCCUCAAUUAAUAAUGGUUCAUUACUUGUUUAAUGUUUUUUGAGGUUGGAAAUAAACUUUGUUACAAUACACUAUGUCCCGGCUUUGUAGUAACAAACAGAUGGUUAAUUCUUGGUAGAGUAUUCCGAGAUGUUGCACAUCGAGGGGGUAAUACUAAUUGGGAACUUAUUAUGUCCAUCGAUCGGGUAUAAUUUAUCUAUCAUUUUAUCUAUAUUGUUAAGUUUUUCAAUAAUUACUUAAAUUUUUUAACCCUUUUUGAAAAUGCUAACAUACAUCUUCUGGAUAAAUUAAAGGAUGCAAAAGGAAAUUGGUGGCUUUUAGUUGGUGAAAGGAUGGAAGUUGGUUUUUGGCCUCGAAAGAUUUUCACUGCAUUAGCAAAGGACUUUUCUGAGAAUAUUGAAUGGGGAGGAUCGGUAUAUAGUCCAUCAAAUAUACUUUUUCCUCAAAUGGGCUCUGGCUUUUUACCUAAAAUUCCAGAUCAUAAGUUUGAUGCUUAUUGGCGAGCACUUACAUUUUCAAAUGAUAAAGGUAAAAAAAUAAAUGCAGAAAAUACACCUAUACUUCUUGAUAGUCCAUCAUUGUUCUAUGUCAUUGAUAAACCAGAUUGGGGACAUCAACAAUAUCCACUUUACAUGUUUUAUGGGGGACCUAAUCAAGAUAAACUUAUGUAGAAUUGUUGUAAUUAUGAUAUAUCUUUGCAAAUGACAAUCUUCUAUUCGAUCAUGUUCAUUAAUUUGCUUCUGAUAAAAUCAUAUUCUCUUCAAUUCGUUUUCAUCAUUUUUGUUUGUACUCUCUUAAGAAAAGCAUUAACUAUAUAUUAAAUUGACUAAAUCACCCUUAUUUAUUACUCAUCUCUAUUUAAUCAUUUUCUUUUUUGCAUUGUAUUGAUAUCUCUCUAUAUUUAUGACUAAAGGUAAAGGUGAGAAAAAGACAAAUAAUUAUGUAUUAAUUUUCUAAAAUGACAAGUAAUACUACGAAAUAACUACUUUUAGUUAGGACGACAAUUAUUUAGGAAUGGAGGAAAUUAUUAUGAUAUCCGAAUGAAUAUUCUGCCCAAUUUUCUCUUUUCCCAAUGUUAAUAAUUUCUUCUGAUUCUUUUUCAAAUUCUAUAAAAAUCUUAGUUAAUUGUGUAUUUCUUUGUAGUUCCAUGAUUUGAUCCUUUUGACUUUCAUAUUCAACUUUGGUUGUCCUUAGUCCUCUGCCAGGUGCUUAGAAGCCUAACUUCGAUGAUAUUAUUGUAACACAAUAGUCACACAUAUUCGCACAAGGACCUCCAAUUUGAAUUUUACAAGUUUUUAUAAUUCAAUAGUAUUUGGUGGAAGAAUCAGGUUCAUGAUAUAUGUAAGGACAAUUUUAAGUCAUUAGUUAUUCUUAAUUGUGGUAGUAUUUUCUCGUUGCUAUACUAACUCUUCGGAAAACUCUCGAUUUUUCAAGCACUACUAAAGACUAAGAUCUAGAUCUCUCUCUCUCUCUCCUCUCUCCUUACCCUCUCUCCAUCUCUAGCGCACCGGCCCCCGGUCCCCGGCGCCGUCGCUGACCUUCGGCGCCGACCCGAUCCGGAAGAAACACUUGGUUGAACUUCCUUACAUCCCCGAAUUCGACGAGAAAAGUAUUCCUACUAAGGCCAGACCUAUCCAAAUGAACCAUGAGAUGAUGGAAAUCUGUAAGAAAGAAAUAGAUCAUCUCCUGAAAAAUGGUAUCAUCAGACGCUCUAACUCCCCCUGGAGUUGCUCUGCCUUUUAUGUUAAUAACAGUGCAGAGAAAGANNNNNNNNNNNNNNNNNNNNNNNNNNNNNNNNNNNNNNNNNNNNNNNNNNNNNNNNNNNNNNNNNNNNNNNNNNNNNNNNNNNNNNNNNNNNNNNNNNNNNNNNNNNNNNNNNNNNNNNNNNNNNNNNNNNNNNNNNNNNNNNNNNNNNNNNNNNNNNNNNNNNNNNNNNNNNNNNNNNNNNNNNNNNNNNNNNNNNNNNNNNNNNNNNNNNNNNNNNNNNNNNNNNNNNNNNNNNNNNNNNNNNNNNNNNNNNNNNNNNNNNNNNNNNNNNNNNNNNNNNNNNNNNNNNNNNNNNNNNNNNNNNNNNNNNNNNNNNNNNNNNNNNNNNNNNNNNNNNNNNNNNNNNNNNNNNNNNNNNNNNNNNNNNNNNNNNNNNNNNNNNNNNNNNNNNNNNNNNNNNNNNNNNNNNNNNNNNNNNNNNNNNNNNNNNNNNNNNNNNNNNNNNNNNNNNNNNNNNNNNNNNNNNNNNNNNNNNNNNNNNNNNNNNNNNNNNNNNNNNNNNNNNNNNNNNNNNNNNNNNNNNNNNNNNNNNNNNNNNNNNNNNNNNNNNNNNNNNNNNNNNNNNNNNNNNNNNNNNNNNNNNNNNNNNNNNNNNNNNNNNNNNNNNNNNNNNNNNNNNNNNNNNNNNNNNNNNNNNNNNNNNNNNNNNNNNNNNNNNNNNNNNNNNNNNNNNNNNNNNNNNNNNNNNNNNNNNNNNNNNNNNNNNNNNNNNNNNNNNNNNNNNNNNNNNNNNNNNNNNNNNNNNNNNNNNNNNNNNNNNNNNNNNNNNNNNNNNNNNNNNNNNNNNNNNNNNNNNNNNNNNNNNNNNNNNNNNNNNNNNNNNNNGCUGUGGGUCAAAAAUCAACUGGGUCCUGCUAGGAAGGUUGGGGAUCGUCUCAAUGUUGUCCUUUUAAAUUUUUGUGGCUAUUUUGGUGGACAAACGGGUUAAACGGUACAAACGUGGUAUUUUUAGGCCUAAUCGGUGUGCUAUAGCCCACAGUUUUGGGGGUGGGCCUGGGUCUAGGUGUGUUGAGGGCCGAAAAUUGAUCGGCGCAUGCCAGGGAUGUUGAGGAUCAUUUCAGUGUGGUUUGUUUAAAUUUUUGUGUCCAUUUGUGUUGUCAAACUGGCAAAACGGAGCGAACGAGGCAUUUUUGGGCCAAAUCGGUGUGCUAUAGCCCACGGUUUUGGGGUGUGCCUGGGGUCCGGGCAUGCUAUAGGCUUAAAAUCGAUCGGGAUAUACCAGGGAGGUUGGGGAUCAUCCAAGUAUGGUCCGUUUAAAUAUUUGUGGCAAUUUAGGUGGACAAAUGGGUAAAGCAGUGAGAACGAGGCAUUAUUGGGCCAAAUCGGUGUGCUAUAGCCCACGGUUUUGGGGGUGGGACCGGGAUCCAGGCGUUUUGUGGUCUAAAAAUCUAUCGGGGCAUGCCAGGGAUUUUGGAGAUCAUCCCAGUGUGGUCCGUUAAAAUUUUCGUGGCCAUUUGGGUGGACAAACGGGCAAAUAGGCGCAAGCGGGGCAUUUUUAGGCCAAAUCGAUAUUCUAUAGUCCACGGUUUUGGGGGUAGGAUCGAGGUUUUAGCGAGUUGUGGUUUGAAAAUCAACUGUGAUGUGUCGGGGAGGUUGGGGAUCAUCCCAGUAUGGUCCAUUUAAAUUUUUCCAGCCAUUUGGGUGGACAAAUAGUGAAAUGGCAUGAACGGGGCAUUUUCGGGCAAAAUCAGCGUGUAAUAGCACACAGUUUUGGGGGUGGGCCUUUGUUUCGGGCAUUCUGUGGGCCAAAAAUUGGCUGGGAUAUGCUAGGGAGUUUGGGGAACGUCCCAUUUUGGUUUGUUUAAAUUUUAUAGUCAUUUGGAUAGACAAACGGGUGAAACAGCAUGAACGGGGCAUUUUUGGGAUAAAUUGGUGUUCGAUAGCACACGGGUUCUGGGGUGGACCCGGAGUCCAAGCAUGAUAUGGGCCGAAAAUAGAACAAAGCAUGUCAAGGAGGUUGGGAAUCAUCCUAGUGUGGUAAGUUUAAAUUUUUGUGGCCAUUUGGGUGGAGAAACGGGCAAAACGGCAUGAACAAGGCAUUUUUGAGCUAAAUCGGUGUGCUAUAGCCCACGAGUUUUGGCGGCGGGCCAGGUUUCUGGGUGUUCUAUGGGCUAAAAAUAGACCGGGCCAUGCCAAGGAGGUUGCGGAUCAUCUCAGUGUGGUCCAUUUUAAUUUUCGCGGCCACUUGGGUAGAUAAUCGGGCAAAACAGAACAAGGGAGGUUGGGGAUCAUCCCAGUGUGGUAUGUUUAAAUUUUUAUGGCCAUUUGGGUGGACAAACUAGUGAAAUGGUGUGAACGAAGCAUUUUUGGGCUAAAUUGAUGUGCUAUAGCCCACGGUUUCAGGGGUAGGCCUGAGGUCCAAUCGUGUUGUGGGUCAAAACUCGACUUGGACGUGCCAGGGAGAUUGGGGAUCAUCCCAGUGUGGUCCGUUUAAAAUUUUGUGGCCAUUUGAGUGGAGAAAUGGGUGAAAUAGCACAAAUGGGGCAUUUUCGAUCCAAAUCGAUGUUCUAUAGCCCACGGUUUUGGAGGUGGACCUUGGGUACGAGCGUGCUAUGGGCCAAAAAUUGAUCGGGGCAUGCUACAGAGGUUGGGGAUCAUCCCAGUGUGGUCCGUUUAAAUUUUCAUGGCUAUUUGGGUAGACAAACGGGUGAAAUGGAGGAACGUGACAUUUUUGGGCUAAAUCAAUGUGCUAAAGCCCACGAUUUCAGGGGUGGGUCCAGGGUCCGAGCGUGCUGUGGGCCAAAAAUAGAUCGGGGCAUGCCAAAGAGGUUGUGGAUCAUCCCAGUAUGGUUUUUUUAAAUUUUCAUGGCCAUUUGGGUUGAUGAAUGGGUAAAACCGUGCGAAUGGGACAUUUUCAAGCCAAAUCGGUGUGCUAUAGCCUAUGCUUUUGGGGGUUGACCUGAGUUUCUAGCAUGUUGUGGGUCAAAAAUCGACCGGGGUAUGCUAGGAAGGUUGAGGAUCAUCCCAAUGUAGUUUGUUUAAAUGUUCGUGGCCAUUGGGAUGGACAAACGGGUGAACGGGGUGUUUUUGGGCCAAAUCGGUGUGCUAUAGCCCAUGGUUUUGGGGGUGGGCCCGGGGUCCGGGCGUGCUGUGGGCCAAAAAUUGACCGGGGCAUGCCAGGGAGGUUGGAGAUCGUCCUUGUGUAUUUCAUUUAAAUUUUCAUAGAUAUUUGGGUGGACAAACAGUCUAAACGGCCCGAACGGAGAAUUUUUGGGCAAAAUUGGUGUGCUAUAGCCCACGAUUCGGGUUCAAGGUGUGCUGUGGGACAAAAAUUGAACAAGAAAUUCCAGGGAGGUUGGGGAUCAACCCAGUGUGGUCCGUUUAAAUUUUUGUGUCCAUUUUGUUGGACAAACAGGCAAAACAGUGUGAAUGGGGCUUUUUUGGGCCAAAUCGGUAUGGUAUAGCCCACUGUUUUAGGGGUGGGCUCGAGGUCUAGUGUGCUAUGGGCUAAAAAUGGACCUGGGCAUACCAGGGAGGUUAGGGAUAGUCCCAGUGUGGUCCUUUUAAAUUUUUGUGGCCAUUAGAGUGGACAAAUGGGCGAAAAGGCACGAACGGGGCAUUUUUUGGCCAAAACGGUGUGCAUAGCCCACGGGUUCAGGGGUGGGUUCGGGGUCCAGGUGUGCUGUUGACCAAAAAUCUACCGAGGCAUGUCAGGGAGGUUGGGGAUCGUCCCAGUGUGGUCUAUUAAAUUUUCGUGGGCAUUUGAGUAGACAAACGGGCGAAACAACGCGAACAGGGUAUUUUCAUACCAAAUCGGUGUGCUAUAGCCCACGUUUUCGGGGGUAUGCCCGGGAUCCGAGCGUGCUUGUAACACCCCAACCUUUUUAUGGUUGUCCUUAGUACUCUAUCAUGCGCUUAGAAGCCUAACUUCGAUUAUUUUAUUGUAACACGAUAGUCACAGAUAUUCUCACAAGGACCUCCAAUUUGAAUUUUAUAAGUUUUUAUAAUUCAAUAGUAUUUGGUGGAAGAAUUAGGUUCAUGAUAUAUGUAAGGACUAUUGUAUGUCAUUAGUUAUUCUUAAUUGUUACAUGAAGCGGUGCUUGUAUAUAAUUAAAUAUAAGGUGUGUAAUGUUUAAUAAUUGUUAAUAUCUCUUUCAUUUUUAUCAAUUAGUGGCUACUUUUAAUAAAAUAUCCAAGGAUAUGCUAUGGAUUAGAAUCGUUUGGCAACAAUCCAGGUGGACCACAUAUUUGAUUUAUAGGACAUUUACGUAUUUGUUUAUUUAUUAUCAUUGUUAGAAGAUAAAUUCAAUUAUAAAAUGAAUUAAUUACUCCUUUACUAUAGGAUAUGAUUUAUACAUAGAAAAUUUGUAUGAGUUAUAGUAAAUAUGAAAAGAAUCUCUCGGACUUCAUGAAUGAUUUUCUUUGAUUAAUGAAAUUUUUUUAGUUACGAUUCAUUUUUGUAUAACUAAGUUUAGUGAGAGUUUUAUAACUUGUUAUUAUUUUAAUGGAGAUAAAAUGUUCAUUAUGUUAAAAUGUUAUUAAUAUGAAAGGUAGGCUUUAUUUGGUAUAAUUUUCUAUUAAUUGUGAUAUAUUUAAAAAUGGUGUAUUUAUUUUAUCACGAAUUUAUAUAAUAUCCGAAUAGAUAUGUAAUGGAUCGAAAAUAAUUUAUAUGGGCCACCACCAAUUUCACGUGGAAAGUGGAGGGAACAUCCAGCAAACAUUGUGUAAGUGUUGGUAUUAAAUUUACUUGACAUUUGGAAAGUUAAUUCUUUCUUUAAGAAUAUUCAUUAUGUUAGGCAUAAAGAAACUAUUUUUUUUUUUAUAAAUAGAAAGAAUCAUCAGAUUGUUGUUUUCUUCUUGGUAUAAACAUAGCUACAAAGAAAGUUAGGUUGUAAAUUGCUUUGGUUAUAUGCCUUUAUUAGAUUGAUAUCCCGUAUUUCAUAUUCCUUUUUUUUUUUACUAUGGGGAGAAGGAGAUUAUUACUGGCUGAAUAAGUUAUUGUAGCGACGUAGCACUCGAGAAUUUAUGGUAGCUUUGGAAGACAAUUAUUAAGGUAUGUUAAGGUUAUCCCUUCUCUUUUUGGCAUGAUUUCGCAAGUAUUGCGACUUUCGAGUCUAUCAAGCUAUGGGGGAAGUUGUUGUAAGAUAACUAGAAAUAGAAAUAGAAAAUCGAAAUAGCACUUAGUAAAUUCAACUCCUUAUUAUUAAUUCCCCUAAUUGCUCCCACUCCCUCAUUUGAUUAGUUUAUUUUCAGUUGUCACAUGUUAAUUAAUUGCACAUAGUUAACCGGGGAAUCUCAAUUAUAGUUUUAUCUUCUUCAUGUUAUUUGACAUUGAAUUGUGACGUCUUUAAAUGUACUUGCUCCAUAACAUAGGAGUAUAAAUACAGAAAUUAUCUAACAGUUUCCAAGACUAGACCAACGUGAAUUUUUGUAAGCAACAGACGUGAAUUAUAGUUACGACCACUAUCUUAUAUGAUCGUGAACCUUUAAAGAUGGGUGGUUACAUGAAGGUUACUUUUGGAGAGGACAUUUUACAUACAUACAUAUAUGAAUUGUGGUGUUGCUAUUUUCAAAUUUGUGCUUUACAUGUUUUAGAUAUUGUGGUGAUCUUGUCAACCCGUAAAGCAACUUGGCUAUUUAUGUUGUGAACUAUUGGAUGGGUUAAGAUUGCUAUUGUGGCUUGGUGUUCAUGUUGUUUGCCCACAUCUAUAUAUAUUCAUAGUUCCUAUGCAUUACAUUUCAUGCUUUAGGGGGCUAGGAUUAAGGUGUGUGCCUACAUCACAUGAUUUCAAUUCAUUUCUUUUUUAGGCUAGGGGUCAGGACGUACGCCUACACUACAUGGAUUUUAUUUUACAUGAUUUUGUAAUCGAACUUUGAGUUUUUGUCUCUCAUUAUGCGUGGGGACUGUGGAGGUUUGGUAAGUUGUUAUUAUUAUGACGAUAUAAGAAUCAGACACAUAUAGAACUGGUGGUCAGUUACCGAUGGUAGGUCGUCGUGUUAUAAGCGUACGAGUUAAAGUAGGGGCAAGUAAGGUUGUUAAAACUUGGGUGUGUUGGAUCUGAUUGCUUGUGACUCACUCCUUUUGUUUUAAUCAUGUGAUUGUGGUUAGUCGGCACCUAUCGAGCUUAGAAGUGGCCGGAUAUAUUGUGGGGUUAAUUCACUAUUAAUACUAGUUUUACCACUUACAUUAGUGUAGAAUAAUGCCUAUAAUGGGAGGAUGAACUGUGGUAGGUUGUACUGAUUUGCAACAGAAACAAGUAUGUACAGCCUAAAUUUUCUUUCCAUGACCUGGUUCUUAAUUUCAAGAUUCUGAAUCUGGUACACUAUUGAGGGAUAUCUCAUGGAGCUUUUUGAUUAUGUUGUUCACUCAUUUGAGAUAAUUAUCUUGUGUCAAGAGCUCAUGUUAAUUUUGUGUUUAGUACCAAGUUGGAGGUAAUGCCCUGGAAAAAAAAAUCUAGUCAUAAGGAUAGUUAUUAUGCGAUAAAACACCGAUAGGAAAAAUGUUGGGAGUUUAGAUAUAUCAUAGAGUGUGAGUAAGUAAUUUUAAACAUUGUCAGAUUGUCUAGGGUUUAGUAAAAUGAGCAUAUCUCGGUGUGUAGUGAUCCGUUCUAAUAAUAGAAAUAUGUUUUAGAAUUCUGACGCGUAUCUCUACAACUUAUGUUCUUAUAUCAAAAGCUGAUUCUUCUUUUAUGUCUCCGAAAUAGUGGACGCAAGAGAGGACCAGUUCUGCCCAGUUCUUUAGUUUAGAAACCCUCUAUGUGCUACUGUUAGUAUUUAACUGAUAUCUUCCUUUACAAAAUAUAUUUUGUGGUGAUUUUGGAUUAUUUGCGACCCUGAGAUACAUACCUAUAACUUUCAUGAUCUACCUAUUUGAAACUAAGUUGCAACGCUGAAUAGUAAGGCUGUCCAGAUUCAUUGUUUUACGGACUUAGUAUGAUUUGCACAAACUAAAGGUACUUUAGAUGUUAAUCUUAAUUCAUAUCAAUGUGAGUUAUUGAGAAUUAAUGAGGUAUCAAAUACACUUGUUUAUAAUUUGAGGAACUUGAAACAAUUAAUUGGGUAAUAACUUGAAUUUCCUAAGCUAUAGUUGGGUUGAAGAUGUGUAAAAGACUAAGGUUUGUCUAUAACUUAGAACUUUUACCCUAGUUACCCACGAAUGUAUCUGUGAUAUUUGUUAAAUUAUACCCUCUAAUUAAUUACUUGAUCGUAUACUUUAUUUGGGUAAUACGAUCAUAUGUUGCUUGAUUCGAUAUCGCUUCUGUCCCGUUAAGAUAAUGUGACCUGUAGAGUCCCUGUUGGAAUGUGCAUUUGUUCCUAAUUUUUACCUAUUCACUUGCCUCAAUAGUUCUCAUGCUCAUGUACCCUUUUAAUUGUUAUCAUAUAGUAAGUAUUUAUUAUAAGUCCAACCUCUUUAUUUGAGAAGUUAUGUGUCACCAAUUGAAAGCUCAAUUUUGGGAUGUCUAGAUGUGUCUUCAAUAAACUCGUGCUAAGUAGAACUAUUUGUCCUUUUUUUUAUAUACCGUAGUGGAUCAUUUAUCGACCUAAAGUCCUUACUUCUCACAUGGCCUUAUGGCUUAGUUGUGUAUAUUCACCGUGUCUAAUAAAGUUCAUUGAGUCAUAUGAGUUUCUGAGUGUCAUGUUGAAGUCCCCCUUUUUUUUCUUUACUUCAUUUGUCAUUGUUGUUGCCUCGAGCUUUUUAUCUAUAUGUAUACAUCAUAUGUUUAUAGUUCCAAUAGCUCGAAAGGAUUAUGAUCACCAAGUAAUAAUCUCAAAGGCUAAUUAAACUAAGUAACGAAAAUCUGUAAAAUGGGUAGCAGCCCAAGGGGUUCUUAUACCUAGCACAGGGUCGAUCCCAGUUGAUAUGUUAAUGGGUGGCAGCCCAAGGGGCUCUAUUACCUAGCACAGGGCCGAUCCCAGGUAAUGUAUUUACAGGUGGCAGCUCAGAGGCAUAAUCCUAGCAUGGGCCGAUCCUAAUUUGAUAUUUACCACUGAUCAGCUGGUCAUUUGCAUUAUAUGGAUUACAAAGAUUAUAAAGCAAGCAAGAAAAAAAAUAAUGUAAUGAAUGUACUGUACAUGAUUCCACAGUUAUAACAAAAAGUGAUCUUUUAUACUUGCCCCUAUGGUUACACAUUGAUAUCUGGUUUCAUUUAAGCUCUUAUUUUACAUAUGGUCACUUUAUGCCUUACAUGCUCAGUACAUUCUUUCUUACUGACGUCCCCAUUUCCUGGGGGGCACUGCAUUCAUGCCUGUAGGUUAUUAGAAGGAAAAGAGGUUCUUGCUAUGUAUGAUCGAGUUCAGCUGAUGAUUGGUAUACUUCGUUCUUUCCGGAGUUGCCGAGUCUAGAACUUAUUUUUGGUUUGCAUAAUUGAUGAAUACUACGAGGCCUGUCCCACCUAGCGAGUAGAUAUUUCUCAUCUUAGAGGCUUGUAGACGAUUGUUGAUGUGGGUCAAAGGGUCAGUUACAGUCCAAGUGUCCUUAUGUUAUACUUUUGUUGCAUUUGUGUUACCGUCAUUAUGCUCUCUUCUUUUAAAAUUCAACUUGGCCUUGAGAGUGCACUAAUGUUAUUUGGUUGGGUUUUAGGUUGUAUGUACAGUCAAGUGUGGCACCAUGUGCUAGUCUCGCCUCUAUGAUUUUGGGGUGUGACAAUCCCCAACGUUAUAGACACUAAAAGGGCAUAAAUACCAACAAAAUAUAACAAAAGAGGGAUACAUUUUUUUAGGGAAAGGGAAAUAACAUGAAAGAAGACACGUUCCCACACAAGGGAUAGAAAAUACUAAUUUCUGAGUGCUUCUUCUAUCAUCCUUCGCCUUGUUAGCUUCGUCCAUUUCUUAUAUUGGUAACAUCCGUUGAGAUUCAAACUGUGCCUUAGAUACAACCUCCCGAAUCGAUCAAUUUUUUGCUUCAAUUCUUCUCACGAAAGUAAGCAAAUCAAGAUUUUUCCCGACCCCAAAGGAUAGUGGAUUGAAUUAGACAGACAUUGUUUUCUUCAACACAAAAAUAUGGUCCAUCUAUAAAAGACUCGGGGUCAAUAGACGCAGGACAGGUUUUCUAAUGGGCCCAAUACCCCGCUCGAGUAUUGGGUCGUCCUAGGCUCAUGCCUAAACAGGGUUUUGGUUUCAUUCUAUCCUAGGUGUCUAGAGUGGGUUUGAACACUGGUUCUCAAGCGAACAACUUGAGUUUAAGAAUACGAACAGCCAAAAUAUGACUCACGAGCUAAUAAGCCGUUCGUAUUUUCAACACUUUAUUGGAAUUGUACAAUAGGGGCCGGGACAUCGACGAAACCCCAAAACAGUUUAAAUAAUGCAGAAAUAUGCCAUGAGAUGCAAUAGUUAAACUUUACAGAAUCGAAACAUAUAAACACAUAAAAAGUUAAUCAAAAGACGAAAUCAAACAUUUGGUUAGAACCUAGUUAAAGAUCCCCAACAGAGUCGCCAUUUCUAUUUUACAGAAAAAUUUUGACUUAUUGAGAGAGAAUCACCACUUAAUUUUGAAAAGGAAUUAAGAGACCUUUAUAAAAGUUACUUCAAACGAUUCAAAAUAGGAAAAUCGUUUUAAGUUAGAGAUUUUAGAUAAGCGGUUCCUAUUAACAUUUUAGGAAGGUGUUAGGCACCUUAAACGUCUGCUAACUUGCGGUUAUCCGGACUGUUUGAAAAUCGUCUUUGACUAACUUUGGAAAAAAGUUGAUUUCUGCAAAGAAAAGCAAUUUUAGUGAUAUUUUAGUGUUUAUGCAAAAUCAGUUUUUAGGCGACUUAGUUAAGGAUUUUAACUAAGUUCGCAAAGAAACAUGUAAAUAAGUAAACGAAAGGUAAAGGGGAGAAAAGCGGGGAAGUAGUGAUUUAGGCUUUCAAGCCCAAACCAUCGGCCCUAUCCUAAUUCUAUGUUUUGAGCCUUUUGACUCGAGUUCCGAUUCACCUGUAUUAAUUUAUAAGUUUGGCUUCAAGGCCCAAAUGAAGAAAUAAGACGACAAAUAAAUGAAUACACGAGAUGAUGAUAAAUGAACUAAAUGAGUAAAUAAAUGAGACACUUUAAGUUUAGAUACGGGACUUUAAUCCGUUUUCCUUCCUCGUUCGACCCUUCGUAUUUGUAUGCCUUGUGAUUGACUUUUAGACUUUCCUUCGGGAUUGACUCAAUCGGAUGGGCCCAAUUGGCCCAGGAUGAGUAUGCAAAAGGGAAAGAGUCCAUAUAGGACUCCGAUUCACAUGCAAGAAACGAAAAUAAGAGAGAUUAAUGUGCAUAUCCAAAGUGCGGAACGCCAUACGGAAAAGCAGCAUAACAAAUCAAUAAACAAAAGAAAGGGACCUACUGUAAUCUAAAAUGACAUAGCAAACAGCACGCCAAGGUAUAUAAAAAAAAUCCAAGAAAAAGUCAUGCAAUUAUGGCUAACACCAAUACAUAAACACGCAUACAAAAUAAAAAAAAUGUUUAAGACUAAAUUUGUAAGAAUUCUCAUAAAUAGGAAUAAGCAAACAAUGAGACGUACACUAGAGUUGAGGGUUUAAAAUAAAUCUCAUGAGCGACCUACUCAUAACAUUGAGUAAGAAAAAAAGCAUUCUUUUCAGGGAAACAUACCAUACAAAAAUCUAACAGCUUGGAAAACAAACAAUAGAAUACCAUGACUUAAGGAAAAGUGCAUGAAACUUGACAUAAGAUCUAUUCAAACAGCUAAAAAUCAUAACUUUUUCAAGAAAAGUAAGUUUGUACGUUAAAAAAAGAGAUAAGAUAUUUAUACUACAGUGAGCAAAGAAGUAGCAGAUCCCUGAGCAGACAAAGAGAGUCUUAGUAAUUAUCAAUUUAAGAGUAACCCCACCACCACUUCCAAUGAAAAACAACGGCAUAACCAGUAAUACCCUAAAGUGCGGGCAGACUUGAUGAACGGAAAGCAAAAGGAAGAGAAUGUUUGUAAAGAAUCGAGUAAAACAUGCCUAUCUAGAGUCUUGACAGAGAGACUAUGAAGAUGAGAAUCGGUUAUGACAAGAUCCCAUUUCAUAUUCCAAAUUUGUUCCGAGGGAAAACUAAGGAAUUUGCUCUCAUAUUAAAAAAAACCUUGUAUCUACACAGGAAGCGGCCUUACCAAAACUCUAAGAAUUUUAGGCUUUGUAAAUUAUUACCAGAAAGAAAACCACAAACCCAACUCAAAGAGAAUGCACCCCAUGUAAUGAUUUUUUGACAUCAAAGAGACCCUAUCCAUUCUCUUUUAUAAUAAAGCCAACGCAUUUAUUCGGGGAUUUGACAAACAAAACACCAACUUGAAACAAAAUCAAAAGGGCAAUAAAAGAUUCAAACUUUGCAAUUCUGCAACAAAUGGAACAUGGAUAUCGGGUGAACAAGAUUCAGCAGCUCAAAACGUAUUAAACAAAAUUAAAACACGAAACUUUAACCACAAAAAUCAGGGAAACAAGAUUCCAAUAGCCUGAAACUUCAAAACCAUGAAACUUUAAACGAUGAAACCAACCUCAACUGCAUACUAGCAAUUCAAAUAGCUACCAAACCCACCUAACAAGAUACCAGUAACUCCAAACAAAAAUCAAAAGCACAAAACUUUAACAUAAAAAAAUCUAUGGUCUGUAGGACCUCUACAGCCAAUAAAUUCGCAGCACCUACGACUAUCAGCGUGAUUGCAACAAAUACCACAAUUAUGCGGCUAAAUGCUAAAAACAGAAUAGACUAGAAGAAGAAGAAAAUGUUCAAAGCUAACAGAGACGAUGCAUUACCUGUUGCGGAGCAGCAAAAUAGGACAACGAGUCAACGUCAGGAUUUCGACUACCGAAAAAAGCUUAUCAGCUACUUCGAACAACUCCGACGAGCUUUAAGCUUUUACUAAAAUGGAAGAACUUAUUGAUUUUUGCUCAAAAUAGCUCUCUUUUUCGAGACCCUAGUAGAAACAAGAAAAUUUUUUGCUCUUUGCAGGUUCCAAAUUUUCCACCUAAAGAGAUUUUUCCUUCUUCUCUUUUCGAACCCAAGAGAAGAGUACCUAACCCAAUUUUGAACCAUAAUUUUACGACCCUAAAAUCUCCUUUGUUUUUUCAAAAUUCUGUUUCUCUCUCCAAAAUCCCCCGAAAUGUGACCUAAUCUGUUCUUAUAUAGAAGACGAGAAUGGGGGGGAAUUUUAGGGAUUUUUAGAGGGAAUUCAUAAUUCAAAACCCCUAGCCUCCCUGGGUCGUAACCAAUUUGGAUUUUCUUUCCACAAAUCUGAAACCAGUGGACCAAUCAAAUGUGGGGAAGACAAAAAUGUACCCAAGAACCAAUGAAAAUUAACUAAAUAUGUACGAAUCCGUAUGAGUUAUCCCAAAAUUUGCAGAUUUGAGCCGUUGGGAGAGACACCUUGUCUUGUUCUAGAAUGUUCAAGGAGUUUCCCAUCCUACGAACGCGAAACGCGUGACAACAGUGAAAAAGGAACGGGCUGGGAUCAGGUAUCAUCAUUGGACACAGAUUGAUGGUUCAUGAUGUUGUUGUCGCGAUUCGGAUCAAAGUUUGGGUUGAGGAGAUUUGUAGGUGUUGAAACGGGUCUUUGCUAUUAUACAGGUUCUUGAAGAAAAGAGGCAAAUCAUGGUACUGGGCCGGGUUAAGGCAUAAGAUUGGGUUGGUGUUGCUGAAAAAAUGAAGGAGGGAAUGGGCUAUUGUUGGUUGAUUGUUAUUGCCUGGGAUAGGCCCAAAACUUGUUGUUGGAAGAUUAGAAAUGAGAAAGGUUCUUUAAAAAGUAGCCAAAUUAAAUUAGAAAGCUUCAUUCAAAUACUAACCAUUUGAAUAUCAAUUUAAUUAAUUGCAUUGCAAUUGUGGUCAACUUGAUUUCAAUUGUGGUUAUAUUUGAUAAUGUGACUAAAUUGAACCAAAACUCUAUACAAAAUAAAUACUUUUUAAUCCCGAG
rnacentral:lncRNA from 1 species